rnacentral:rRNA from 1 species
GCAGUGACAAUGAGAUGCUAAACAGCGAUGUUAAGCUAAACUCAAAAACCUGCCUCAGUUCGGAUUGCACUCUGCAACUCGAGUGCAUGAAGCUGGAAUCGCUAGUAAUCGCUCAUCAGCGCGGAGCGGUGAAUACGUUCCCGGGUCUUGUACACACCGCCCGUCACACCAUGGAAGUUGGUUUUACCUUAAGGCAUGUCACUAACCCUCGGGAAGUGCGUGACCACGGUAUGAUCGGCGACUGGGGUGAAGUCGUAACAAGGUAAAUCC